AAAACAACAUAAAUGCUUAAGAACAAGCCAACUAAGUCGCAUAAAUAUGCUCCUAUCAUAUGUAAUAAGUGAUGAGCCCUUAUUCUAUAAAAAGACUCCUCACCCUUACAAUGAGGGGAGACCAUUUCCUAAGCCUUUCCUAUCUAGAGCAAAGCUCUCACUCUCUCCCUCACAAAUACUCUCAUAAAUAUACAAUCAGUGUGGACGUAGCCCAAACCUUAGGGUGAACCACGAUACAUCUUGUGUUAUUUACAUUUCAUGCAGAUUCACGGUCAGAUUUACGUUGUUCCAAGACCUCUAGUUUUGUGCAUCAACAUUUGGCGCCGUCUGUGGGAAUCAGUACCAAAAGCU
rnacentral:lncRNA from 1 species